AUUGAACGCUGGCGGCAGGCCUAACACAUGCAAGUCGAGCGGAUGAGAGGAGCUUGCUUCUCGAUUCAGCGGCGGACGGGUGAGUAAUGCCUAGGAAUCUGCCUGGUAGUGGGGGACAACGUUUCGAAAGGAACGCUAAUACCGCAUACGUCCUACGGGAGAAAGCAGGGGACCUUCGGGCCUUGCGCUAUCAGAUGAGCCUAGGUCGGAUUAGCUAGUUGGUGAGGUAAUGGCUCACCAAGGCGACGAUCCGUGACUGGUUAGAGAGGAUGAUCGGGCAGACUGGAACUGGGACACGGUCCUGACUCCUACGGUAGGCAGUAGUGUGGAAUAUUUGACAAUGGGUGAAAGCCUGAUCCAGCCAUGACGCGUGUGUGAAGAAGGUCUUCGGAUUGUAAAGCACUUUAAGUUGGGAGGAAGGGUUGUAGAUUAAUACUCUGCAAUUUUGACGUUACCGACAGAAUAAGCACCGGCUAACUCUGUGCCAGCCGCCGCUGUAACAC
rnacentral:rRNA from 1 species